AGUGAACGCUGGCGGUAGGCCUAACACAUGCAAGUCGAACGGCAGCACAGUAAGAGCUUGCUCUUACGGGUGGCGAGUGGCGGACGGGUGAGGAAUACAUCGGAAUCUACUUUUUCGUGGGGGAUAACGUAGGGAAACUUACGCUAAUACCGCAUACGACCUACGGGUGAAAGCAGGGGAUCUUCGGACCUUGCGCGAUUGAAUUAGCCGAUGUCGGAUUAGCUAGUUGGCGGGGUAAAGGCCCACCAAGGCGACGAUCCGUAGCUGGUCUGAGAGGGUGAUCAGCCACACUGGAACUGAGACACGGUCCAGACUCCUACGGGAGGCAGCAGUGGGGAAUAUUGGACAAUGGGCGCAAGCCUGAUCCAGCCAUACCGCGUGGGUGAAGAAGGCCUUCGGGUUGUAAAGCCCUUUUGUUGGGAAAGAAAAGCAGCAGGUUAAUACCCCGCUGUUCUGACGGUACCCAAAGAAUAAGCACCGGCUAACUUCGUG
rnacentral:rRNA from 1 species